rnacentral:rRNA from 1 species
UGGGGAAUAUUGCACAAUGGAGGGAACUCUGAUGCAGCGACGCCGCGUGAACGAAGAAGGCUUUCGAGUCGUAAAGUUCUUUUAUAGGGGAAGAUAAUGACGGUACCAUAAGAAAAAGCCCCGGCUAACUACGUGCCAGCAGCCGCGGUAAUACGUAGGGGGCUAGCGUUGUCCGGAAUCACUGGGCGUAAAGGGUUCGCAGGCGGAAAUGCAAGUCAGGUGUAACAGGCAGUAGCUUAACUACUGUAAGCAUUUGAAACUGCAUAUCUUGAGAAGUGUAGAUGUAAGUGGAAUUUUUAGUGUAGCGGUGAAAUGCGUAGAUAUUAACAAGAAUACCGGUGGCGAAGGCGACUUACUGGGCUCAUUCUGACGCUGAGGAACGACAGCGUGGGUAGCAACCAGG